AUUGAACGCUGGCGGCAUGCCUUACACAUGCAAGUCGAACGGUAGAGUAGCAAUACUUGAGAGUGGCGAACGGGUGAGUAAUAUAUCGGAACGUGCCCAGUCGUGGGGGAUAACGUAGAGAAAUUUACGCUAAUACCGCAUACGAUCUAAGGAUGAAAGCGGGGGAUUCGCAAGAACCUCGCGCGAUUGGAGCGGCUGAUAUCAGAUUAGGUUGUUGGUGAGGUAAAAGCUCACCAAGCCGACGAUCUGUAGCUGGUUUGAGAGAACGACCAGCCACACUGGGACUGAGACACGGCCCAGACUCCUACGGGAGGCAGCAGUGGGGAAUUUUGGACAAUGGGCGAAAGCCUGAUCCAGCAAUGCCGCGUGUGGGAAGAAGGCCUUCGGGUUGUAAACCACUUUUGUACGGAACGAAACGUCUCGCUUUAAUACAGCGGGCUAAUGACGGUGCCGUAAGAAUAAGCACCGGCUAACUACGUGCCAGCAGCCGCGGUAAUACGUAGGGUGCGAGCGUUAAUCGGAAUUACUGGACGUAAAGCGUGCGCAGGCGGUUAUAUAAGACAGUUGUGAAAUCCCCGGGCUCAACCUGGGAAUUGCAUCUGUGACUGUAUAGCUAGAGUACGGUAGAGGGGGAUGGAAUUCCGCGUGUAGCAGUGA
rnacentral:rRNA from 1 species